rnacentral:rRNA from 1 species
AGAGUUGAUUCUGGCUCAGAACGAACGCUGGCGGCAGGCCUAACACAUGCAAGUCGAGCGCGCCCUUCGGGGUGAGCGGCGGACGGGUUAGUAACGCGUGGGAACGUACCCUUUGGUAGGGAAUAGCCACUGGAAACGGUGAGUAAUACCCUAUGAGCCCUUCGGGGGAAAGAUUUAUCGCCAAAGGAUCGGCCCGCGUUAGAUUAGGUAGUUGGUGGGGUAAUGGCCUACCAAGCCUACGAUCUAUAGCUGGUUUUAGAGGAUGAUCAGCAACACUGGGACUGAGACACGGCCCAGACUCCUACGGGAGGCAGCAGUGGGGAAUCUUGGACAAUGGGGGCAACCCUGAAUCCAGCCAUGCCGCGUGAGUGAAGAAGGCCUUAGGGUCGUAAAGCUCUUUCGCCUAUGAAGAUAAUGACGGUAGCAGGUAAAGAAACCCCGGCUAACUCCGUGCCAGCCGCUGC